rnacentral:rRNA from 1 species
GGAUGAACGCUAGCGGCAGGCUUAACACAUGCAAGUCGAGGGGUAACGGGGAAGCUUGCUUCCGCCGACGACCGGCGCACGGGUGCGUAACGCGUAUACAAUCUACCUUGUACUGGGGUAUAGCCUUUAGAAAUGAAGAUUAACCCCCCAUAGUCUCUUAGAGUGGCAUCACUUCUAGAGUAAAGGUUACGGUAUAAGAUGAGUAUGCGUUCUAUUAGUUUGUUGGUGUGGUAACGGCACACCAAGACUACGAUAGAUAGGGGCCCUGAGAGGGGGAUCCCCCACACUGGUACUGAGACACGGACCAGACUCCUACGGGAGGCAGCAGUGAGGAAUAUUGGACAAUGGAGGCAACUCUGAUCCAGCCAUGCCGCGUGCAGGAAGACUGCCCUAUGGGUUGUAAACUGCUUUUAUACAGGAAGAAACACCUCUACGUGUAGAGGCUUGACGGUACUGUAAGAAUAAGGAUCGGCUAACUCCGUGCCAGCAGCCGCGGUAAUACGGAGGAUCCAAGCGUUAUCCGGAAUCAUUGGGUUUAAAGGGUCCGUAGGUGGAUAAUUAAGUCAGAGGUGAAAUCUUGCAGCUCAACUGUAAAAUUGCCUUUGAAACUGGUUAUCUUGAGUUAUUAUGAAGUAGUUAGAAUAUGUAGUGUAGCGGUGAAAUGCAUAGAUAUUACAUAGAAUACCAAUUGCGAAGGCAGAUUACUAAUAAUCAACUGACACUGAUGGACGAAAGCGUGGGUAGCGAACAGGAUUAGAUACCCUGGUAGUCCACGCCGUAAACGAUGGUUACUAGCUGUUUGGACUUCGGUCUGAGUGGCUAAGCGAAAGUGAUAAGUAACCCACCUGGGGAGUACGUUCGCAAGAAUGAAACUCAAAGGAAUUGACGGGGGCCCGCACAAGCGGUGGAGCAUGUGGUUUAAUUCGAUGAUACGCGAGGAACCUUACCAGGGCUUAAAUGUAAGUUGCAUUAGUUAGAGAUAGCUAUUUCUUCGGACCACUUACAAGGUGCUGCAUGGUUGUCGUCAGCUCGUGCCGUGAGGUGUCAGGUUAAGUCCUAUAACGAGCGCAACCCCUGUUGUUAGUUGCCAGCGAGUCAUGUCGGGAACUCUAGCAAGACUGCCAGUGCAAACUGUGAGGAAGGUGGGGAUGACGUCAAAUCAUCACGGCCCCUACGUCCCGGGCUACACACGUGCUACAAUGGUAGGUACAGAGAGCAGCCACUGCGCGAGCAGGAGCGAAUCUAUAAAACCUAUCACAGUUCGGAUCGGAGUCUGCAACUCGACUCCGUGAAGCUGGAAUCGCUAGUAAUCGGAUAUCAGCCAUGAUCCGGUGAAUACGUUCCCGGGCCUUGCACACACCGCCCGUCA